rnacentral:sRNA from 1 species
GCCAAGUGUGGUGGCGCACACCUGUAAUCUCAGCAGCUCAGGAGGCUGAGACAGGAGGAUCUCUGGCUACUUUUGGGCCCUGUCAGAGUUCAAACCAAGUUCAAGGCCAGCCUCAGCAAAAGUGAGGCCCUAAGCAACUCAGGGAGACCCUGUCUCUG